rnacentral:rRNA from 1 species
GAUAGGUAGAGAGACGAUCAGGACAUUG